CUUACCACUUCUUGUAUAUUAUUAUUAUAUAUUAUAUAUUAUAUAUAUAUAUAUAAUAUAUAUAAUAAUACAGGUGUUGCAUGGCUGUCUUUAGUUCGUGUUGUGAAAUGUUAGGUUAAUUCCGUUAACGAACGCAAUCCUUUUCUUUAGUUUUGUUAUUAUUAUUAUUAUUAUAAUUUUAAUUAAUUAGACUUAAAGAAGUAUCUUUCGAUAGGAAGGAAUAAUUAGGAUUAAGACAAGUCUUCAUGACCCUUAUGAAGUGGGCUACAGACGUGCCACAAAAAUUUCUACAAUAGGAUGCAAAGAUGUAUGUAAGUCAGAGCUAAACCAUGAAAGGAAAUUAAA
rnacentral:rRNA from 1 species